UGAGUAACAUCAACUGGAGGACCGAACCCACUAACGUUGAAAAGUUAGGGGAUGACCUGUGGCUAGGAGUGAAAGGCUAAUCAAACCGGGAGAUAGCUGGUUCUCCCCGAAAUCUAUUUAGGUAGAGCCUCGGACGAAUACUUACGGGGGUAGAGCACUGUUAAGGCUAGGGGGUCAUCCCGACUUACCAACCCUUUGCAAACUCCGAAUACCGUAAAGUAAUAUCCGGGAGACACACGGCGGGUGCUAACGUCCGUCGUGAAGAGGGAAACAACCCAGACCGCCAGCUAAGGUCCCAAAGUCAUAGUUAAGUGGGAAACGAUGUGGAAAGGCCCAGACAGCCAGGAGGUUGGCUUAGAAGCAGCCAUCCUUUAAAGAAAGCGUAAUAGCUCACUGGUCGAGUCGGUCUGCGCGGAAGAUGUAACGGGGCUAAACUAUGCACCGAAGCUGCGGAUUCAGAAUUUAUUCUGAGUGGUAGGGGAGCGUUCUGUAAGCCGUUGAAGGUGUACCGGGAGGUAUGCUGGAGGUAUCAGAAGUGCGAAUGCUGACAUGAGUAACGAUAAUGGGAGUGAAAAACUCCCACGCCGGAAGACCAAGGGUUCCUAUCCCAUGUUAAUCAGGGUAGGGUAAGUCGACCCCUAAGGCUAGGCCGAAAGGCGUAGUCGAUGGGAAACAGAUUAAUAUUUCUGUACUCGAUAUAAUUGCGAUGGGGGGACGGAGCAGGCUAAGCAAGCAUAGCGUUGGUAGUCUAUGUGAAAGUGAGUAGGGCGUUUGUUUAGGUAAAUCCGGACAAGCAUUAAACCUGAGACACGAGACGAGUCACUACGGUGAUGAAGUUGCUGAUGCCAUACUUCCAGGAAAAGCCUCUAAGCUUCAGAUUAUAUGGAAUCGUACCCCAAACCGACACAGGUGGUCAGGUAGAGAAUACUAAGGCGCUUGAGAGAACUCGG
rnacentral:rRNA from 1 species